CCUACGGUGGCAGCAGUGGGGAAUAUUGGACAAUGGGCGAAAGCCUGAUCCAGCCAUGCCGCGUGUGUGAAGAAGGCCUUCGGGUUGUAAAGCACUUUCAGUGGGGAAGAAAGCCUUGGGGCUAAUACCCUCGAGGAAGGACAUCACCCACAGAAGAAGCACCGGCUAACUCCGUGCCAGCAGCCGCGGUAAUACGGAGGGUGCGAGCGUUAAUCGGAAUUACUGGGCGUAAAGCGCGCGUAGGCGGUCUGAUAAGCCGGUUGUGAAAGCCCCGGGCUCAACCUGGGAACGGCGUCCGGAACUGUCAGGCUAGAGUGCAGGAGAGGAAGGUAGAAUUCCCGGUGUAGCGGUGAAAUGCGUAGAGAUCGGGAGGAAUACCAGUGGCGAAGGCGGCCUUCUGGACUGACACUGACGCUGAGGUGCGAAAGCGUGGGUAGCAAACAGGAUUAGAUACCCGGGUAGUC
rnacentral:rRNA from 1 species